UUGCCUGUUUAUCAAAAACAUGUCUGUAUGAAGUUAUAUAGAGUCUAGCCUGCCCAUUGAUAAUUUUAAAGGCCGCGGUAUAUUAACUGUGCAAAGGUAGCAUAAUCAUUAGUUUUUUAAUUGAAGGCUUGUAUGAAGGGUUGGACAAAGAAUAAUCUGUUUCUAUUUUUAUUUUUGAAUUUAACUUUUAAGUGAAAAGGCUUAAAUAAAUUUAAGGGACGAUAAGACCCUAUAAAUCUUUAUAUUAAAUUAUUUUAAAUUAAUUAAUAUUGUAAAUAAGAUAAUAAAAUAAUAUAUAUUGUGUUGGGGUGAUGAGAAUAUAAUAAAUAACUGUUCUAAAAUAAAAACAAAGCUAUUUGUAUAAAAUAAUAGAUCCUUUACUAAGAUUAAAAGUUUAAGUUACUUUAGGGAUAACAGCGUUAUUUUUUUUGAGAGUUCUUAUCGAAAAAAAAGUUUGCGACCUCGAUGUUGAAUUAAAAUUUCUUUGUGGUGUAGUUGUUACAAGAGAGAGUCUGUUCGACUUUUAAAUUUUUACAUGAUUUGAGUUCAGACCGGCGUGAGCCAGGUUGGUUUCUAUCU
rnacentral:rRNA from 1 species